UAGGGAAUCUUCGGCAAUGGACGAAAGUCUGACCGAGCAACGCCGCGUGAGUGAAGAAGGUUUUCGGAUCGUAAAACUCUGUUGUUAGAGAAGAACAAGGACGUUAGUAACUGAACGUCCCCUGACGGUAUCUAACCAGAAAGCCACGGCUAACUACGUGCCAGCAGCCGCGGUAAUACGUAGGUGGCAAGCGUUGUCCGGAUUUAUUGGGCGUAAAGCGAGCGCAGGCGGUUUCUUAAGUCUGAUGUGAAAGCCCCCGGCUCAACCGGGGAGGGUCAUUGGAAACUGGGAGGCUUGAGUGCAGAAGAGGAGAGUGGAAUUCCAUGUGUAGCGGUGAAAUGCGUAGAUAUAUGGAGGAAAAACAGUGGCGAAGGCGGCUAUCUGGUCUGUAACUGACGCUGAGGCUCGAAAGCGUGGGGAGCAAACAGG
rnacentral:rRNA from 1 species